UGCGGGAUAGCUCAACGGUAGAGUGCCCGGCUGUUAACCGGAGAGUUGCAGGUUCGAAUCCUGCUCCCGCAGCCU
rnacentral:tRNA from 1 species